AUCGAUCGUACGUAAUUCGACAAAAUAAUAUAAAACAAAAGACCUUGUGCGUCUAUUCUUUCCUCAUAAAACGAAAGAAACUUUUCCGACAAUCUAAUACUAUACUAAACUUCUUAACUUCGUCUAUAACUUCAUACGUAUAAGAUUAACGAACGUGGAACAGAUAUUCGCUGCUAUUUCUGAUUAAAGUGUCCUUCGUAAUAUUCGAGGAGAACGCGUUUUGUUUCGCGUUACUUUGCUACCGGUGCGUAGGCUCCGCGACCUAAUUAAAACGUAUCGAAUUCGCACGUGUAAUUAAAACAUAAUACGACGCCGUGCGUGAUGGUGGUCCUCGUUAAUGAAAGAGCUUUGCCUGGUUGAACAAGGGUAAUUAGCGAAUUCGUUGCAUCGGAGAGGGACAGGGUCUCGGGCAAUAAUAUCGAGCCGAGGAUCGAAACCGGCCGAUGCAUUGUAACGUUAUCACUUAAUUGAAGGGUUUUCGGAGACGUGCGAGGCCUCGUUAAAUCAACGAGGGGGUUUAUCGUGUACAGUGCCGCGUCGAGCUGCUCCUUUUUCGUUACGUUUUUCGAGGCAUCGGUAAUUAGCCGAUCUCCGGUUUCGAUGGAGUGGAGCCGAGAAAUUUUCAAACUCCUUGUUUGUUGACGGACCCUUUGUCGAGAUUAAUUGCGGAGGUUAAUCCAUGGUUCUUAUCAUAAUGAAAUUAAAAGCCAACGUCUGACUGGAAAGAAUUUUCAAUUUUCGAUUAAAGGUAAGUUCAAGCUGAUAACCUAUUGUUCUUUAAUUCUCACUUGGAUUAUUUAAUAAGAAAAAUGAUAACUUCUCAUUCGUCAAUCUACAAUGUGUUCACACAGUUAUUGGUCAGCGUUUUUCUCGUAAACGGUACGCGUACGAGAAAUAUGAAAGAACAAAAAAGUUUCAUCGUUUCUUCUCACUAACGCAAUACCGUUUAUAUAAACUUGCUGCGGUCGCAAUAUUUCCUGAGAAACGGGCAGGUACGCUUCUAAUUCCUCGUUAUCUGAGAAGAACGGAUUAUCUAAGGAGAACGGAUUACCUGAGAAUGCUGUGAAAAUGGUGGCCGUAUAUUUGCUUGGCCAGAGUAGAAGCUUGAUAGAAACGUUUACUGUAUAAGCAAUUGUAUUUGCUUUCUUAUCUUAUAUCUUUUCAUUUCCGGUGUCAAAUUGAUCGAAAUUAGAUAAGAUUGCGGCAGAGUCCUUUAAGUACUUUCUCGUAUCUACUAUGCUUGUUCUUCAAUAUCGUUUUAAUACGAGCAAGGGAACAAUGGCCGAGAGUAUCCCAAGUAUUAUGUAAAUCCAGCGUCUUAUAGCUUUUUUCUCUGGUCGGCUUUGCCCCGCAAUUUUCGACCAUUGUUCCAACUUCGGGCUAUACCUUAUUCGUCUUCCGCCUCCCUUCUCAUCUCUUUAUCCGGAAUUUCUUACUCUCUUCUCCGCUUUCUCUCUCUCUUUUUUUUGUAUUUUAUUCUUCCUCGUCUUCUGUAUCUGUUUCAGCGUGAUCGUGCAUCCGCUCAGGUCCCUUUCCUGCUCCGUUUCGUUUCUCGUUGAUGCUCGUUUUUCUUUAAUAACCAUCGUCUACCAAGCGGCAGGGUAGUCGCGUUUCUUUAUUUAUUUCUUACUAACGCUCCACCAGGGAAAGGUUUUCCUACUCUCGCCUACAUUUCUAAUUUAUACACUCGCUUCCUGCGUUUCACCGGCUGGAUUAUACUUUUAUUCGAACGACUCGAGCCCUUUUCCAUUUCCGUCUAUCAAUGUUGCAUCGAAGAAGCUUCGACGAUCAUGUUGCUUCGCCUUUUUCACCGCACCUCUGGCCAGACGUGUUAUAUUAUACGUAUAACGAAGAGAAAAGUAACAGACAAACGAACGAAAGGCUCAAUUCCCAACGUCUUUCCAUUGGACGCCGUGUGAGGAUCGAUGCGAGGAUCGAGGCUCUCUGGCGGAAAUAAAACAUUUUGUCGGAUCAUCGAACGGAUUCGGCUGGGAAACGAGUAGAAAACGAGAGUGGGACUGCUGAAUGGCGGAAGUGGCGCUGCUUGUUUUUUCACGGAGCCAGCCGGCUGUCAGUUUUGUGGGGCCGAAAUAACAAUGAAACUAAUGAAUGGACUUCCUCCAACGCCGCAAUUAAUGUAACUCAGCCCUUCUGAAUAGCCAUUUAAAUUGAUCCGCCGGAGGUAGGCGCGAGGUGUAUGCCGAUGAAAUUCGUUUCGUUUUAUACGUAUCUACUACGUGAUGUUAAAAGCUUUGUCCGCCUUCCUAUCUUGCCUUCUCUUCGUUCUUUUCGCGGGUCGAUAAACGUUACCAGCUGAUUCACGAGGGCGUAAAAUUCCUCGCUGAAGAUUAUUCAAAUUCUUUACGAACAUUUUUAUGCCGUAUCGAAAUUUAUUCCUCCACGCACGAUGCUCUACUUCUUUAACAGGUUCUUCGCCACGUCACCCAUAUCUAUGUGACGGGUAUACUUCCGUGGGGCAACGUCAUCCAAGUAUGGAUGACGCUCUUGAUCGAGUCAAUUAAAUAUAGGAUAUUAGAUAAAGGAUAUACAACAUAAAAAUAUUAAAAACACAUUAUACCAUAUUUUUUAUUGAUUUAUAUUCUGGAUAAAAUAUUACAUUAUGCUAUAUCGCAUGGUAAUUGUUAAAAUAUUCCAAACACACUUGUAAACUUCGUCAUCACUACUCUCCUCACUUUCAAAUAUAUUUUCACGUUGUUUACUGGACAUUUUGAGGAUGAAGGAAUCACUGAUGUACGCCUCACAAGUAUGCUUCCCGACUAAAUGAAAGAUCUGAGAUAUCUGCCAUGAGAUCCCUCGGAAUACUCUACUUAUUGUUUUCUCCGUUUCAGAACUAAAUAAUUUUUCCUUUGCAAUGAAUCGAAGCCGAUAAACAAUGAAUUCCGGUUUGUCGCUCCAUUUACGUUCUGCGUACCGGCGGUCGGAUUUGGGUCCCGCAGGAAACUUAGCCUAAUCACGCUGAGCAACGAACGUGUUAAGUUGGUUAAAUUAUUUAUUAUUACGCGGUUCAUUUUUUCCAUAUAAAUAACGUUACGAAGCUUCCUAGCGAUCAAUUCGAAAGCGCGAAACGCAAUGGGGAAGAAAGUGAAAAAAAAAGAUGGAGAAAAUUUCACAUCUGGAUCGAACGCAUUUACAGAUCGACGCGUCGCGACGCGGACGAAACUCGGCAAAUCCGGGCCCCUGAUUCGAUUCGGAAUUUCUUCCGGCUGUCGCACACGACGGCCGCAUUUUCCCCGAUUCGACGAUCGCAUUCGUUUAGCACUCGAAUUGUUCUCAAUUAGUUUAUGCACGCUCGCGAUUCUGAGCAAUUCCGCGCGCGUGCACGCGCUUUACGCUUACGAUCGCUAUCAGCGUUGCGUGCUUCGAUUUUUUCCCUAGUUUCCUUUUUCAACGACCCAGCGGCAAACUGUUGAACUUUCAACAUUCUUUUUCCUAUCGUCAAAAGGAAUUAAGAAUCUGCGCGCGUACGUACAUAGGUGAAAAUCAAUACACGUUUCAUGGAAAAAUAUUACUACUUGAUUUAAGAAUAUCAAGAGCAGCGUUGAUUUUCCCUUAAUAAAAUUACGCGAAUUAUAACAAGUCGCUUUGUAAUAUUUUCACGUGUAUCGAUUUUCACCUACGUACGUAAGCGCGGAAAUUCUUAAUUUCUUUGACGAUAUGAAAAAAAAUGUGGGAAGUUCAACGGUUCUCCUUAGAAUAGAUAGCAGAUUCUAAAGGAAAUCAUACGUCUCCACGAUUUAAAUUUCCACGAUUAAUCAAAUACGACGAAGAUAUCGAUGCAAAUUUAUAUUGCUAUGCGUAUCGUUAAAAAACUAGACGUAUGAUUGUUUCACUUGUUAAAUAUGGUAACGGUACGGCUAUUUUCUGUAUAAUUACGUUCUGCGCAUGUUUCCACUGAAAAUUCCCCGCAAACGCAUAAAAAUCCGCGCUGUAAUUACCAUACUUAUUCUCUUACUUACGCGCUAAUCCACGAUAAUUCUCAAUUGCGGAUUCAAAAUUUACUUCGUAACUUUAUUCCGCCGACUUGUUCGUCGGAAUCAAUUUUCACAGACGUCUUAGCUGCCGGGACGUAGCUUCGUAGCCAUGCUCGUGCAAUUUAAUGUAUCGUUAGGCACGGUAAUAAACGAUAAACGUGGUAGAAUAUGCCGCCAGUUUACCAGCAGAGUGUUCCACCGGCAUAGAAUCGAGGUGAUUAUGUUCGGCUCCCGAGGGACGCGUCGCCUAAACGACCGCUUCGUGCCGCUAUCGUUCUCUGCUAUCCACGUCGUUUGCCUUUGAUAACUCUUUUACAGUCUGACUUUAUUAUCCGAAUAGGAAGCCGGUAAGAUCGACGAGUAAUUCGCGCGCAUUUAGCUCGCUGCUUGUCGCGUGGGAAAAGAAGCGAAUAAAAAAGAAAAGGAGGUACGAGACGACAAAAGGAGAGAAAGGGAGGAACAGGGGGGAUUUAUCGGAGAUGGUAAAAACUAGGCUUCUCUGGUGGCGAUGUUCAAAUAUUUGAGGGGAAAAAUUUAUGUCCCGGACCGCGGGUUUCCUUUUAAAGGCACCGCGACGACGAGAGUGGAAAGUUUAAUUACACGGGAACACGUCUUCGUGGUGUUCCCUUUGCGGUGUUCGUGGCUUGAAAGUCGGCCGAGGACCAAGUUUAGGCUGUUCGCUGAACAUUUUCUUUAAAAGUUACCGCGGACUCGUUGGUAGCGUUGCUUCAAGUUAGACGUGUCCCUUGGUCGAUUGAUAGCGCAUAUCGUCGGAAUCGUAGCUGUUUCUGCAGAUCUAUGUUAUACAAGUAGAUUAUACGCAUAUUGAUCGCAGACAAAUUGAAACGUGAAUUAAAUAUAAAUCUAGCGAUCGUAGAAUUAAGAAAUGAAUUUAUUAUUCAGAUAUCGGUCUCCUAUGGUUCGUCAUUUAAACUGGUAGAAUGGCAUAAUGUAUAACGUGCAUGUAUAAUGUGUAAAGUUAGAGACGGUGAAUAAAUAAUAAAAAUAUUAUUAGAUCAUACAGAUAUGCUUAUACGAAUAUGUUUUAACAUUCUAAAAUUUCACAGUAACUUUACUUGGAUAAUUUGAGGCUUUUGGGACGAGGUAUUAAUUCAAAUAUUCCAUCCGGUAAGUUUCUCGUGUCUCUUACCUUUUAAAUAAAGUUGUAUUGUAUAGUCUGUUACAGAAUAGCGACUAAAUAUUUUCAAUCGAAUAAGAGGAAGCAAAGGUGGCAAACUUCGAUUUUCUUCAAUUUCGAGGAAAUAAAACAUUUGAAUUGAAAUGGUUAGAGAGAUGGUAGAAUUCAAGAUGUAGAAACAGGCAUAGUUUCCAUGCUAAAUGUUAUUUUCCGUUACCAACUCGUCGAAUUAAACUAUACUAAAACUUGAACAAAAGAUUCAUAGACGUCAUUUGAUUCCUUUAUCUUCAUCUUGAGAACGAAACGGUACGAUAUUAUUCGGAAGAAUUCAGAGACAUCGUUUCUGGUAAGAAACAAACGUCAGCAAGUUAAACGCAAUCUUCAAGCGUCGCUUAUUCACCGAUGAAUCCAACAGGAAGAGAAUGGAGUGGAAUUCACGAACGUUAACGUAGAAAUAACCACGAGACGUUGGUCGACUUUAGCUUCGUAGCAAACUAGUUAGCGAACUUGAGGUUGUUCGACGAUUGUUAAGGCGUACAAAACGUCUCACACAACCUGAACGGCAGAUGAUUCUAAGGCAGUUUUAUCGUACGACAGUGAAAAAAAGCAAACGAAAGAUUUGUUAAACAACAGUUCGACGGUGACAUUCUGCGUCGUUGACGUUUUAAAUGAAGACCAAAGAUGAAACGUCUAACGAAACGCUUUAAAAGCCAACCAUCCAUUCAUUCUGACGUUGAGGAAGAGGUAUCCGGAUGAAGAAUAGGAUCGUGGUGAGAGUAGAGCAUUAAACGUGGCAUUAAGCCAGCGAUCGCUUCAUCGGACAGAGCGAACAGGCUGCUACAGGCAGUAUAAUGAAUCAUUAAUGUCCAGUUAUCGCUGAAAUCGAUCGCGAGAAGCGACGAAUUCAACCAGCUAAAAACCAGGAAUAAAGGCCAGUCUCCUUUCUCGACGCAAGAUUCCAAAUCUCAGAGCAAACAACACGACGAAAAAAUAUCCCGAAAGACGAAGUUGGAGUUUGUCAUUCAACAGCAGUAUCGUCGAUGAUUAAUGCCUUUGAAAAUGUCCCCAAAAACUAGACCAACCCUCCAACCUUCGCUAUGUCCCGGCUUCGAAAGUCAAAGCCGAAGGGAGACGUUGUGUCCAAGGAAACGAAGAAAAAUGCGAGGAAAGCGAGGGACAGUGGGAUAUGUAUGAGGUGGACGGCUAAAAGGAAGGGGAAAAGAAAGGGAGAUCCAUUAUCGUCGUUGAUGACGCGACUCGGUAUGGAGGAGAAACGUAAAAGCUAGAAGCGUUGGUUAAAUUUGAUUUAAAAUAAAAAUAAGGAAUAACAGGCAGAAACGGUGUGCUGCGUGCAACGAUUUUAAAUAGAAUAACGCAAUUUAAAAAUAGUUUAAUUCGUUAUAAAUAAAGGUGUACCUCCCCUAUGCUCCGAUUAUAAAUAACAAAACAAGCACUUUAUUCCUGGAACUAAACGGUAUCUCCACUGUGGAUUGUUGUUAUUUCAGUAUUAAUUUAAAUAUUAAUAAACUCAUUUUGUAAUUUUGUACGGCUCUGAUAUAGUUGACACGAUAGAAAUAAAAAUUAUUAUUUCAAGAAA